GCGGCAGCCUACACAUGCAGUCGAACGGUAACAGGAAGCAGCUUGCUGCUUCGCUGACGAGUGGCGGACGGGUGAGUAAUGUCUGGGAAACUGCCUGAUGGAGGGGGAUAACUACUGGAAACGGUAGCUAAUACCGCAUAACGUCGCAAGACCAAAGAGGGGGACCUUCGGGCCUCUUGCCAUCGGAUGUGCCCAGAUGGGAUUAGCUAGUAGGUGGGGUAACGGCUCACCUAGGCGACGAUCCCUAGCUGGUCUGAGAGGAUGACCAGCCACACUGGAACUGAGACACGGUCCAGACUCCUACGGGAGGCAGCAGUGGGGAAUAUUGCACAAUGGGCGCAAGCCUGAUGCAGCCAUGCCGCGUGUAUGAAGAAGGCCUUCGGGUUGUAAAGUACUUUCAGCGGGGAGGAAGGCGAUAAGGUUAAUAACCUUGUCGAUUGACGUUACCCGCAGAAGAAGCACCGGCUAACUCCGUGCCAGCAGCCGCGGUAAUACGGAGGGUGCAAGCGUUAAUCGGAAUUACUGGGCGUAAAGCGCACGCAGGCGGUCUGUCAAGUCGGAUGUGAAAUCCCCGGGCUCAACCUGGGAACUGCAUUCUAAACUGGCAAGCUAGAGUCUUGUAGAAGGGGGUAGAAUUCCAGGUGUACCGGUGAAAUGCGUAGAGAUCUGGAGGAAUACCGGUGGCGAAGGCGGCCCCUGGAAAAACACUGACGUCUCAGGUGCAAAAGCGUGGGGGAGCAAAUUGGAUUAUAUACCCUGGUUAUUCUUCCCGUAAAUUAUGUC
rnacentral:rRNA from 1 species